rnacentral:rRNA from 1 species
UACAUGGGGUGCAAACGUUGCUCGGAAUUAUUGGGCGUAAAGCGCGCGUAGGCGGUUACUCAAGUCGGAUGUGAAAGCCCUCGGCUUAACUGAGGAAGUGCACCCGAAGCUGAGUAGCUAGAGUACUAAAGAGGGUCGCGGAAUUCCCGGUGUAGAGGUGAAAUUCGCAGAUAUCAGGAGGAACACCGGAGGCGAAGGCGGAUCUCUGGGGCAUUACUGACGCUGAUGAGCGAAAGCGUGGGGAGCGAACAGG